rnacentral:rRNA from 1 species
CAAUAGCGUAUAUUAAAGUUGUUGCGGUUAAAAAGCUCGUAGUUGGAUUUCUGCCGAGGACGACCGGUCCGCCCUCUGGGUGAGCAUCUGGCUCGGCCUGGGCAUCUUCUUGGAGAACGUAUCUGCACUUGACUGUGUGGUGCGGUAUUCAGGACUUUUACUUUGAGGAAAUUAGAGUGUUUCAAGCAGGCAUACGCCUUGAAUACAUUAGCAUGGAAUAAUAGAAUAGGACUGGGUCCAUUUUGUUGGUUAUUGGACGCAGUGAUGAUUAAUAGGGACAGUUGGGGGCAUUCAUAUUUCAUUGUCAGAGGUGAAAUUCUUGGAUUUAUGAAAGAUGAACUUCUGCGAAAGCAUUUGCCAAGGAUGUUUUCAUUGAUCAAGAACGAAAGUUAGGGGAUCGAAGAUGAUUAGAUACCAU